AACCCAUGAUGAGGGCACAAUGUCAGCUUCUCCUUGAAUCGCUCCAAAGCUUCAUAGACUCUCCAUCUUUUUAAGAAAAACUUGUGAUUUGAUUUCUCGAUU
rfam:Cicer arietinum chromosome Ca3, whole genome shotgun sequence.